AUACGAUGAUUAUUCACGAUGAGUGUCCACACAGAUUGAUAGUUCACAAGCGCAAGCUUGUAGCUAACAUAGCUCUUUAACAAUUUGGAAAGCUGACAAAACAACAAUUUAUUGUUGUUUGUAAAGUUCUCAAUGUUUGUCUUUAAGACAAACACCAAAAUAACACAUUCAAGUGUUCUUGGAAUUUGAGUCCGGCAAAAUCGAGUCUGCAUCAUGUAUAAAAAUUGCAGACAACUUUGGUGACUUGUUCAUCAGCUCGAAACUCCUUCGGGUUGUAU
rnacentral:misc_RNA from 1 species